rnacentral:lncRNA from 10 species
UUUGCUGCACCCAUCAACCCGUCAUCUACAUUAGGUAUUUCUCCUAAUGCUAUCCCUCCUGUAGCCCCCCACCCCCUGACAGGCCCCGGUGUGUGAUGUUCCCCUCUUUCUGCCCAUGUGUUCUCAUUGUUCAACUCCCACUUAUGAGUGAGAACAUGUGGUGUUUGGUUUUAUGUUCCUGUGUUAGUUUGCUGAGAAUGAUGGUUUCCAGAUUCAUCCAUGUCCCUGCAAAGGACAUGAACUCAUUCUUUUUUAUGGCUGCGUAGUAUUCCAUGGUGCAUAUGUGCCACAUUUUCUUUAUCCAGUCUAUCAUUGAUGGGCAUUUGGGUUGGUUCCAAGUCUUUGCUAUUGUGAAUAUUGCUGCAAUAAACAUACGUGUGCAUGUGUCUUUAUAGUAGAAUGAUUUAUAAUCCUUUGGGUAUACACCCAGCAAUGGGAUGGCUGGGUCAAAUGGUAUUUCUGGUUCUAGAUCCUUGAGGAAUAAUCAAAACCACAAUUAGAUACCAUCUCACGCCAGUUAAAUUAGUCCUCUUUAUAUUUUAAGAAAACAUUUGUUUUGCCCUGUGAGUGUUGUUGGAUUGCACAUAUUCAGAUUAUCAUGAGAUAUUCCCAUCUGCUGUAGUAAACGUGGAAAUUUUGAAGGUGUCUGACAAUAGUUUUGGUCCUGGAGUACUAAAAGUAUCCAGAUAGAGUUCAUGUUUUCCAUAGUGAUAAAUGCAACCAAAGCUAUUAGCAAGUUGUACUGCUAGAACAUGUUACGUGUUUUUUACACAUAUGUCAUAAUAUGUUUUUCAGAUUCCUGGAAGAAAUCCCAAUGAACAGGGGUCAUUAUCAGGCCACAUUUCUGGUAUCUGUGGUAAGUAAUGAUGUUCACUUUAACCCCAUCACAGACCAUUUGAUCUUCAUAUAUCUAGGUAAGUGAUGUCUGUUUACGUGAACUGUUUAUCAUGUGCUUUUAUAACAGUGAUUUUUGUAAGUAAUGACAGUAUUUCUAGUUCUAGUGACCAUGUUAUAUUGUUUUUAAUUUAGAGAAAACUUAUGGUUUACGCUGUGAGUAUCAAAUGAUUUGCGUGUACACAGAUAACAACGUGGUGUGCUUCAUAGUAGUAACUGUGGUAUCCUUGCAGAUAGGUAGUCAAGAAAAAAUGGUGUGUCCUUCAAGGUUGUAGACCUUGGGAAUACUGCAAAAUUCCAUGUAGAUUUAUGUCUUCUGCAAUGAUGACAGCCAACAAGUUAUUUGCAGGGUUCUGGUGGAAGAGUUGUGUCCACAGACACAUUUGUCAUAAUGUGGUUUCAGGUUCCUCUCAAGGGGUCAUGGGAAACCUCAUCAUGAUCAACAAUGGGACAUUGCUGGUAUCCAAGCCAAUUAUGAUGUGGGCCUUAAACACCCUACAAAAAUGUGAUCUACAGAAAUGUAGGUAACUGUAGAUGGUUUUCCUAAUUUUUGUGUUGCCAUAUUUUGUGCAGGUAUUUAGUUAAGGAAUUAUAUUUUCCCAACCAACGCAGGUAAGCAUCAGUCAUUAUUUUAGAGUUUAGUUAUAAUGUGUUUAGUCUUAUAGUGAGGGAGGGAUAUGCAGGUAUCCAGGUAAGUUUUCCUACUGUUUCCCACCACGUUAUUGACCAUGAGACUUCAACAUCAUCAAGAGAUGAUGGUGCCACUACAUUGUUGACAUUGAAGUCAUGGCAAAUCCAAGUAGUGUUGAAGGUUCCCUGCUGAUGGAAGUGCCCAGAAUUAUUUGUGUCUUGUCUUUUUUUAUGUAAAACAAAUUGUUUCCUUAAACACACUUGAGCAAUGUGUUUUUUAGUUUUCUGUAAUGAGCUCACAAUCAAGCUUAACAAUAGUCAUUAAUGGAACCGUGCUGUAACCUGCUAAUUGAGAAAGUGUGUUUCCCACAAUCAGACCAUUAGAUCUUUAUAUUUCCAUGUAAGUGAGGAUGGUGUCCUUAACACUUGUCUACCAUGUAUUCCUGCAGGUAUCCUGUUAAGUUCUUUCCUAGUAUACAGGUAGAAGAUUAUGUGAUAUUAACACAUUAGCAACCUUCCUAUUUUCAGAUAUGUAGGUGAUUAAUGAUUUUUUUGAGACUCUUCUUGUAACCUUGUGUUUGUCAUGCAUGCAGUUAAGAAAUUACUUUUUCCCUAACAUUACUAGUAAGAGUGAGAUUUUACUGUGUUCUUGUUUAGACAUAAUGUGUAUUUAUCAAUUGUAGUGAUAUAUGGAUAUGCGAGUAUCCAGGUAAUUUAUCAUAUUGUCCAUCACUGUAAUGCUGAGAUUUUUGUAGGUAUCACUUCAAGAGAGGAAAGUUUCUCUUACGAGUGUUUUCCCUUGGCAUUAUGCAAGCAUCCAGUUACCUUUGAUAGGCCCUGAAAUGAUGAAAGAGACGAAGGGAAUUUGCAGGUGUACAGGUAGAAUGAGACAUUUAGGAAACACAUUUUCAACAGUAUAUUUUUUAGGUUCAUUUGAAGAGGUCACAGUGAGCCUAUCAGUAAUAGUUAACAGGGGUCAUUGCUCGUAUGGAUGUGCAUGAUAAUGUGGGCCUAAAACACAGCCCAGCCCAUCUGAUCUUCCCUUAUAUAGGUAAGUGGUGGUGUCCCUAACACUUCUGUUACUAUGAUUUUGUUGUAGCUGUUCAAGUAAGAAAUGAUAGAGCUCUUACCAAUUUAAAAAAACAUUAUUUUUCUCACUUUUUAUAUUUUAGAAUAACUUUAUGAUUAACCUCUGAGUUUUGAGUGAUAGUGCCUAUCCUGGUUAUUGGUGUUUCUUACCACAGCAGUAACCAGGGGAUUUUUACAGGUGUCCUGUCAAGAAAUGACCGUCUUACCUGACAGUGGUAUUGAUCUUGCAUUAUUACAAGUAUCCAGGUAGAGUUUAUGUGUUCUGUAAUGAUGGAGUGACGAAGGUUAUUUUCAGAUGUCUUGGUGGAAAUGUUUGUGUCCUUUAACACAUAUUUCACAAUGUGUAUUUCAGGUUUCUGUAGUGAGACCCUGAUAAACCUAACAAUGGUUGGUAUGGCAGACAUUUCUGGUAUGCAGGCAAGUGAUGAUGUGUUCUUUAACCACAUCAUAGACCAUCAGAUCUUCUUAUAUCUUUUUUUUUUUUUUUUUUGACAGAGUCUCGCUUUGUCACCCAGGCUGGAGUGCAGUGGGGUGAUCUCGGCUCACUGCAGCCUCCACCUCCCAGGUUCAAGCGAUUCUCGUGCCUCUGCAUCCUGAAUAGCUGGGAUUACAGGUGUGCACCACCACAUCCUGCUGAUUUUUGUAUUUUGAGAGAUGGGGUUUUGGCACGUUGGCCAAGCUGGUCUCGAACUCCUGGCUUCAAGCAGUCCACCCACCUUGGCCUCCCAAAGUGCUGGAAUUACAGGCGUGCACCACCACGCCCGGCCAGAUCUUCAUAUAUCUAAGUAAGUGUUAUACAUUUACCUAAACUUUUUUACUGUGUGAUUUUUUUCCAUAGGUACUCAAGUAAGAAAUGAUAGUCUUUACUAACUACAGCAACCAUGUUAUCCUGCUGUUUUAUAUUUUAGAGAAAAUUUAUGUUUAACUUUGUGAUUGGCGAGCUAUUUGCUAUCCAAGGAAUUAACCAUGGAGUUGCAUGUCAUAGUAGCAAUUGUGGGUUUGUUUGCAGGAUCCUGUCAAGAAGACAUGGUAAACCUCAUCAUGAUCAAGAAUGAGACUUUGCUUGCAUCCAGGCUUCCCAAAAGUUGUUUGAUAGUAUACAGGCAUGAGAUGGUGUGACUCUAACUCAUUAGAUGCCUUCGUCUUUUCAGUCAUCAUGUGAUGGAAAGAAAGCUAUCAACUUCAUUCCUGAGACUUCCUGCAACACAGAUCCAUCUAAACUUUUACUUCAUUGGAGGGUCCUUCCUGACCCAUGCAACUCAACAAAAAACUCUCACAGUUUUUAUAUGCUUUGUUGGGGAUUAACCCAUCUUGCAUUGCAUUGCUAGCUUAGUAUGUCUAGCAUGGGCAUGCCUGCUGAAGUUUGGAACUUCCCAUCAAGGAAACAGGAAAAUGCCAUUGGCAAUGAGCUGAAGACUGAUUUACUCUACCAGUUUGGAACAUCUGUUAUUGCUGCUACUACGGUUUCUAUCACUGUUUGAUGCUGGGACUCUUAAGCUCCAACCACGUUUUCACCGAGCUGAGUCGCCUUCUUAUCACCCCUUUCUGGAGCAGCAGGACAUCUGGGGAUGAGAAGAUGGAGAGAUCAUCCUUAUAUAAUGUUGCAGUCUGGAAGCAUCACUCUCAAAAAGCCAUUGUAGAGAAUCCAAGCCGAGUUUAAGAGUGCUGUGGAAAUACACUGCUGCUACUGCUGUUUCUAUUACUGUUUGAUGCUGGGACUCUUAUGCUCCAACCACGUUUUCACCCAGCUGAGUCGCCUUCGUAUCACGCCUUUCCAGUUUUGAUAGACUAGAAAAAUGACAAGACUCCAAGUCCUUGAAGAGGAGGAAAAGUGUGAAGAAAACAAAAAAGGGAGAUUUAUGUCUGCUUCACCAUUUUGCCCAAGACUUGACCUGUCAUACACUGAAGCUCAGAGAGGAAGAAAGGACCGUGUGAGAGAAGAAGGGAACAGCCUUUCAUCCAUAGGAGAAGUUCGUCUAUGACAAAGCCACUAGCUCCAUGUGGCCGCUGAGCACUCAAAAUGUGGCCAGUCUGAAUUGAGAUAUGUUGUUAGUAUAAAGUCCACAUCGGCUUUUUGAGCACUUUGUAUGAGAAAAAAGAAUACCAAAUAUCUCCUUAAUAAUUGUUACAUUGAUUAUAUGUUGAACUGAUAACAUUAUGGAUAUAUUGGAUUAAAUAAAAUAAAUUAUUAAAAUCAAAUAAAAAAUAAAAUCAAUUUCACCUGUUU